CCGAGAUGAGUUCUCCCUGACCCUUUAAGGGUCCUGAAGGAACGUUGAAGACGACAACGUUGAUAGGCCGGGUGUGUAAGCGCAGCGAUGCGUUGAGCUAACCGGUACUAAUGAACCGUGAGGCUUAACCUUACAACGCCGAAG
rnacentral:rRNA from 1 species